rnacentral:rRNA from 1 species
CGGGGUGAGUAACGCGUGGGUAACCUGCCUUAUACAGGGGGAUAACAGUCAGAAAUGGCUGCUAAUACCGCAUAAGCGCACAGAGCUGCAUGGCUCAGUGUGAAAAACUCCGGUGGUAUAAGAUGGACCCGCGUUGGAUUAGCUGGUUGGUGGGGUAACGGCCCACCAAGGCGACGAUCCAUAGCCGGCCUGAGAGGGUGAACGGCCACAUUGGGACUGAGACACGGCCCAG